UCCAGUUAGGAUGAAUAUUGUAAAAGAGUAGGUUGGCUGGUGGAGAAGUUAGAUGGAGUUUGCUGGUUGUGCUGUGAGGGAGCCAGUACUGCAAGGAGCUGCCCAUGAGACAUCACCAGAAAGUCCCGUCUUAGAUGUGUAAUAUCAGAACUGGACUGCUACCAGUGCUCCAGACAACUUACUUAUGAUCAAAGGGAGAGAGCAUCUUCACUUCACUGCAGUGUUGACUGCAGAAAUUCCAAACUCUGCUACACAGAAGUUUUGAAGAGCCUGCUCUAGUAAACCCCACUUUGAAUGGUAGGAUGGAGUAGACAACCUCUAGAAUAAUUUACUGAUGUUUAUUAGUCUACAGUUCUCACUGAAGCUCCUUUUCAAAUGCUGUUCUUGACAGCCUGGAACUCUGCUUCUGGACAGAAUAUACAGAAAGUGCUAAUGAUGUUAUUUAUUCAUUUAUUCAAAACCCAUUGUACCAUUUCACUUAACUUGGGACAGUUUUUCUAUAAAAUCAAGAUUGAGAUUUGAAGAAUCUAG